rnacentral:rRNA from 1 species
UACGGAGGGAGCUAGCGUUAUUCGGAAUUACUGGGCGUAAAGCGUGCGUAGGUGGUUUGUUAAGUCUGAUGUGAAAGCCCUGGGCUCAACCUGGGAAUUGCAUUGGAUACUAGCAGGCUAGAGUGCGGUAGAGGGUAGUGGAAUUCCCGGUGUAGCAGUGAAAUGCGUAGAGAUCGGGAGGAACACCAGUGGCGAAGGCGACUACCUGGACCAGCACUGACACUGAGGCACGAAAGCGUGGGGAGCAAACAGG